GAAGCAGACAGAAAAACACAGAAGCAGUUGAUGGCUCAUGCCAAACGGUCGUUUUAUUGUUUUAUUUUUUGCUCAUUUUAUCUACAGUCAUCGGUACAGCCAUGUCUGCCACGCGUCUGACAUCCGGGAGCCAACAAAAUCUCAACGUGUCGGUUACUUCCAGUGCUUCUACAAAAGACGGUGAGACGACGGCACCGCCUCAUUUGUCGAGUCAAAACAUUCGAAGUGUCGAUCGUAAUUCACCUCGGGUGCCAUCGUUUCUGUUCGCCCGCCAACAAGGUACCCAGGUGAGUAGCUGAUCUUGUCCCAGUGCGAUGGAACAUAUUCCCGACUCUGACGACAUGCGCCAUUUGGUGUGACAGAGUCGGGAGUGUUGAGAUCGUGGAUUUUAAUUUCCCCAUCCAUGGAUCCGCUGAUGAUGGAAUCACCUGGAACAUCGCAGUAGUCCUUCAUCUCCCCAGUAACAUUCUAAACAGGUUGAUUGCAUGUCGUUCAGAAACAAAUAUGCAGUUGGCUCAGCAUCUUUUGUCGCCCAUGUCACAUCGUGCCGGAUGUCAUUACUACUCUGAGCAACAGGACAGCCCCUGACAAAGCACGCCAAUUCUCAAGUUUGGCAAUAAAGUUGUGAAAGCAAAACCUAUGGCCUCUUCUGCUUGUGGUACGACUCCUAUUUAAAUCCAAAUUUAAAAUCCCCACUUCACCCCAUCGAGUGAUGCCAGUCCUGCAACCUUUUAGAGAACAUGGUAACCAGAGCAUUCACUGGGCUCCAUCAGACGAUUUCCUGGUGGCCUUAAGAGAUGGAGUUUUAUUGGAACUUUUAUUAUCGAGUCAACGAGGACUACAAGAAAAUUGAGAUUUGGAACAACGACUUCGACAUGGGAGACCCCGGAGACCCAUUCCGUCAUGUUAUCUGGAAUAGCACAGGUGAUUCCAUCAUCAGAGGAUCUAUGGGUGGUGAAAUGCAAAACUACGAUCUCAACACUCCCGACUCUGUCACAUCGAAUGGCGCAUGUCGUCAGAGUCGGGAAUAUAUUUCAUCGCAAUGGGACAAGAUCAUCUACUUACCUGUGCCGCCUCAACUGAAGGGUUCGGGGUUUACGACCUCCGCCAAACGGGUGGGUCCACUAAACCCACUUUAUCAUUGCAUCAGAAUCUCGCCGCUUAUAGCCUCUCCAACUCCUCAAUUAACGGUAAUUAAUAUUUUCAGAAACCCCCGGAGACGAAAAUCCCGUCAGAGUCAUGAACUGGUGUCCCUGGAAACCCAAUGUUCUUUUUACCAGCACAAGUUAUCCAGAGUCGAGCAUCCGCCUUCACAAUGCAACGACGGGUGGCUUGAUUGACGACUUUGAAUGCACAUCAGGAGUUUUGGGGAUCCAAUUCAACGUCGAGCUGGAACAAGUUGCCACUUCACAUAAUGAUUUUUCAAGAGCAGAUGCUACGAGACAUGUGGGAUUCAUGGUGAAGAAAGCACCGUUCAGCUCUGGGAAUUUACUUCUAACAAAUUGAAUCCCAUCCAAUAAAUAAGCUAUCACAAACAAGGCAUCAUUAGCAUGGUUGCUUCCGUCAAUAGUCAAUUGCACACCUUGUGCAGUGAUGGCCAACUGUGUUUAUGGCACUGGAACGCAACAAACAAAUCCGCCCCUCGUUCAAAUGCAAACAAUGAGGCGGGGUUCCAGACUGGUCGUAGUCAAUUGGAUGCAUUUAUCGUUAUCCGCUAGUCAUAGAUUUUCAAUUCCCCAAAAAUAUUUUAAUGAAUUUCAAUAGUUUGAUUGGGUCCUGAUUGGGUCAUUUUUAAAAAGAUGUUUUAUUGUAAAUUAAAAAAAAAAAAAACACUGAG